rnacentral:tRNA from 1 species
GGAAGAUACGCGAACGGUUAGCAGCCUCUUUGCUAAAGAGGUACGGCUGAAAGGCCCAGCGGGUUCGACUCCCGCAUCUUCCGC